ACUACGGGUGGCAGCAGUGGGGGAUAUUGCACAAUGGGGGGAACCCUGAUGCAGCGACGCCGCGUGGGUGAAGAAGCGCCUCGGCGCGUAAAGCCCUGUCAGCAGGGAAGAAAAUGACGGUACCUGAAGAAGAAGCCCCGGCUAACUACGUGCCAGCAGCAGCGGUAAUACGUAGGGGGCAAGCGUUAUCCGGAUUUACUGGGUGUAAAGGGGGCGCAGACGGCGAUGCAAGCCAGGAGUGAAAGCCCGGGGCCCAACCCCCGGACUGCUCUUGGAACUGCGUGGCUGGAGUGCAGGAGGGGCAGGCGGAAUUCCUGGUGUAGCGGUGAAAUGCGUAGAUAUCAGGAGGAACACCGGUGGCGAAGGCGGCCUGCUGGACUGCAACUGACGUUGAGGCCCGAAAGCGUGGGGAGCAAACAGGAUUAGAUACCCCAGUAGUC
rnacentral:rRNA from 1 species